rnacentral:sRNA from 1 species
GCGGAGGAAAAGAAACCAACAGGGAUUGCCUCAGUAACGGCGAGUGAAGCGGCAACAGCUCAAAUUUGAAAUCUGGCCCUUUCAGGGUCCGAGUUGUAAUUUGUAGAGGGUGCUUCGGCGUCGGCCGUGGUCUAAGUUCCUUGGAACAGGACGUCACAGAGGGUGAGAAUCCCGUACGUGGCCGCCGGCCUUCGCCAUGUGAAGCCCCUUCGACGAGUCGAGUUGUUUGGGAAUGCAGCUCUAAAUGGGAGAUAAAUUUCUUCUAAAGCUAAAUAUUGGCCAGAGACCGAUAGCGCACAAGUAGAGUGAUCGAAAGAUGAAAAGCACUUUGGAAAGAGAGUCAAAAAGCACGUGAAAUUGUUGAAAGGGAAGCGCUUGCAGCCAGACGUGCCCGCAGUUGCUCACCCGGGCUCUCGCCCGGGGCAUUCUUCUGCGGGCAGGCCAGCAUCAGUUCGGGCGGUCGGAUAAAGGCCUCUGUCACGUACCACCCUCCGGGGUGGCCUUAUAGGGGAGGCGCAACACGGCCAGCCUGAACUGAGGACCGCGCAUCAGCUAGGAUGCUGGCGUAAUGGCUGUAAGCGGCCCGUCUUGAAACACGGACCAAGGAGUCUAACAUCUAUGCGAGUGUUUGGGUGUCAAGCCCGGGCGCGCAAUGAAAGUGAACGUAGGUGGGAACCCUUCGGGGCGCACCAUCGACCGAUCCUGAAGUCUUCGGAUGGAUUUGAGUAAGAGCAUAGCUGUUGGGACCCGAAAGAUGGUGAACUAUGCCUGAAUAGGGUGAAGCCAGGGGAAACCCUGGUGGAGGCUCGCAGCGGUUCUGACGUGCAAAUCGAUCGUCAAAUUUGGGCAUA